UGUAAAACUUCUCGAGUAGGUGGCUGAUAAAGGUAAAUGUCAAGCCCUGAGCUGUGUAUUUUAAGUGUAAAAGCUCAACAUUUUGCAUCCUAUGCUGCUUAUGUUUCAUGCCAAUUAAAUUAACGAAAGGAAAAAGGCUGCUGGUGGGAGCAGGAAAAAGAAAUAAUUCUGUGAUGACCUGGAAUAGACAAACUGCAAAUGCGUUUGUCUACAUUGUAUUAGGACAGAGAAGUUUGGAUGAGAAGCAUGUGCAUGGAGAUGUAACAGAAGGCAACCUACUACAGAAGUCAUCCAUCAAGAAAGGAAGUAACCAAUGACUUGAGGCCUUGCUGUCCACGUCUUCUCUGAUUCAAAUUAUGUUUUCCAAACAGUUACUGGGCCACCAACAUUAACAUGUGAUAUUAGGGGAAUGACUCUCUUGAACACUUCAUCUUUAGAACAUUACCUUAUGACCUCUGGGCUUCUUGACCCCUGACUCUAACCCCUGGUCUGCUUUGGUAACAUUUCCCCUCACACUCCUACCAAAUUCUUGCUGGAAAGAUCAAAGGGCAAGAAGCCUGGAGAGAAAAGAUAGAUCUAAAAGUCUAAACUUCACUCAGGGAGAUGGUGGGAUUAAGGGAUAACACAGAUAAAAGGUUAUAUUCAUGAUAUAUUUAAUUCAAUUGUACAAUAUGUAGCAUAUAUUAUAUAACAUUUUAUAAAAAAGGGUUCUUCUGACUUGAAAACUUCUGCUUCUUAUAUAAUUAACAUCAGAGUGUAAAUAUUCUUUCAUAAUCUGGCUGUAAUUAUAACCCUUAUGAAAAAUGAAUAACACUUACUUGCAUCCAUCAACUUUAGAACCAAGGUGCCAUUUGAACUGCAUUGGUUUUAUUAGGGAACAUUGUGAAAGGCUAUUUUUGUUCAAUGUUUGUCUUUCCAGAGGCCCACUGGAUAUGGGACAAAGGACGUCCACUUAAAUUGCUGCUAAUAGCCCAGGUAAAAACCAUGAUUUCAGGCUCUAAUUACGUCCAUGUUCAAAUGCCAACUAAAGCAAAGCCAAAAAAAUAGUUUCAUUACAUGGUUCAUUACAUUAUAAUUACUGACUGACUUGUUGAAAUCACAUGACCACUGAGUUUCCUGGAAAAAACAGGUAAUUUUGUUUAAGUUUGUACACUGGUAAAAGUAACACAUGCUGGAUUCAUACCGGUUUAAUUUACACAACACCAUGGACAAUUAAAAGUAGUAUAACACCUCUUCCUAUUAAACAAUUCAAAUCCAAACAGGGCUGUGUCUGACAAAAAAAUAAGCUACUACAUAUUUUUGAGGGCUCUACGGUAAUAAAUCUCUCAAAAUAGAAAAACAAGUUUCAAAAAAGACUUUGUUCCUUGUGUGUAAAAUGUGAGAAAAAAAAACUACAGGUUCUCAACUGUGUCAUUUUAGAGGAUACCAUAAAAUAUGUUAGCAUCAGGUCAACUUUGGUGUGUGUGUGUGUGUGUGUGUGUGUGUGUGUGUGUGUGUGUGUACGUUGUGUUUGGCUUGUGUGUUGUGAGAACAGCUAUUUAUUGCCUCUGCUGGUCUGUUGUUUCUGAGCUCAGCAUAAAAAAUGUUCAGUAUUUAUGUCAGUGGCUUACAGCUUCCUGUGGGUGUUGGUGUGUGUGUUUUGCUGCUGUGUGUGUGUGUGUGUGUGUGUUUAUAUUUCCUGGCAUCA